AGCUUUCAGAUUUCGUUUCUUUCCUUUGCAGUCAUUCAUUGUUUCUUUUUCCUUUUAUUUCUCGUUGCAUAAUUUUGAAAAUGUUUAUAUCUGUGAUGAAGAGAAUUACCUAGAUCCCGAUUGCAGCAUCUCUUGCAGCAGCGUGAAUGAUUCUAUUUGGACCUAUAGACGAGAGGCGUUUAUGUGAAUGCCGAUUCUGUCAAGUUUACCUUCGGAAAUAGAUAUUCAAUUGCUGAAUUUUGAUCGCCGAUCCGGAUCUGUUUGUUUCGGUUAGGUUCUCCAUAUCUUCAGAUAUUUUUCGUUUUUAAUUUUCCUUUUUCGAUUGAUUAGAUCUCCAAUUUAUUCUGUGAUGGAUAUUUGAAACGCGAAGGUUCCCAGCGGAGAGGAAGAGGUCUUGAACGACACCUCUCUAACACUUAAUUUACACCUUCGCAAAUGGAGAUUGGCCAUCUUAAACGGCGCUUCUGAAAAUUAUAAUUUUGGAUGCGUUUUGAACCCUUUGGCUAUAUUUUUUUUUUCAAUUUUCAUUUUAAAUACUCCA